UCUAUUAACUAGAGAACUGGUCAGGUCUGA
rnacentral:piRNA from 1 species